rnacentral:rRNA from 2 species
AGAGUUUGAUUCUGGCUCAGAACGAACGCUGGCGGCGUGGAUAAGACAUGCAAGUCGAACGGGAGAAUUGCUAGCUUGCUAAUAAUUCUCUAGUGGCGCACGGGUGAGUAACACGUGAGUAACCUGCCUCUUAGUGGGGGAUAGCCCUGGGAAACCGGGAUUAAUACCGCAUACGAUUGAAAGAUCAAAGCAGCAAUGCGCUAGGAGAUGGGCUCGCGGCCUAUUAGUUAGUUGGUGAGGUAACGGCUCACCAAGGCGAUGACGGGUAGCCGGUCUGAGAGGAUGUCCGGCCACACUGGAACUGAGACACGGUCCAGACACCUACGGGUGGCAGCAGUCGAGAAUCAUUCACAAUGGGGGCAACCCUGAUGGUGCGACGCCGCGUGGGGGAAUGAAGGUCUUCGGAUUGUAAACCCCUGUCAUGUGGGAGCAAAUUAAAAAGAUAGUACCACAAGAGGAAGAGACGGCUAACUCUGUGCCAGCAGCCGCGGUAAUACAGAGGUCUCAAGCGUUGUUCGGAAUCACUGGGCGUAAAGCGUGCGUAGGCUGUUUCGUAAGUCGUGUGUGAAAGGCAGGGGCUCAACCCCUGGAUUGCACAUGAUACUGCGAGACUAGAGUAAUGGAGGGGGAACCGGAAUUCUCGGUGUAGCAGUGAAAUGCGUAGAUAUCGAGAGGAACACUCGUGGCGAAGGCGGGUUCCUGGACAUUAACUGACGCUGAGGCACGAAGGCCAGGGGAGCGAAAGGGAUUAGAUACCCCUGUAGUCCUGGCAGUAAACGGUGCACGCUUGGUGUGCGGGGAAUCGACCCCCUGCGUGCCGGAGCUAACGCGUUAAGCGUGCCGCCUGGGGAGUACGGUCGCAAGAUUAAAACUCAAAGAAAUUGACGGGGACCCGCACAAGCGGUGGAGUAUGUGGCUUAAUUCGAUGCAACGCGAAGAACCUUACCUGGGCUUGACAUGUAAUGAACAACAUGUGAAAGCAUGCGACUCUUCGGAGGCGUUACACAGGUGCUGCAUGGCCGUCGUCAGCUCGUGUCGUGAGAUGUUUGGUUAAGUCCAGCAACGAGCGCAACCCCUGUUGCCAGUUACCAGCACGUCAAGGUGGGGACUCUGGCGAGACUGCCCAGAUCAACUGGGAGGAAGGUGGGGACGACGUCAGGUCAGUAUGGCCCUUAUGCCCAGGGCUGCACACGUACUACAAUGCCCAGUACAGAGGGGGCCGAAGCCGCGAGGCGGAGGAAAUCCUGAAAACUGGGCCCAGUUCGGACUGUAGGCUGCAACCCGCCUACACGAAGCCGGAAUCGCUAGUAAUGGCGCAUCAGCUACGGCGCCGUGAAUACGUUCCCGGGUCUUGUACACACCGCCCGUCACAUCAUGGAAGCCGGUCGCACCCGAAGUAUCUGAAGCCAACCGCAAGGAGGCAGGGUCCUAAGGUGAGACUGGUAACUGGGAUGAAGUCGUAACAAGGUAGCCGUAGGGGAACCUGCGG